rnacentral:rRNA from 1 species
CCCAGACUCCUACGGGAGGCAGCAGUGGGGGAUAUUGCACAAUGGGGGGAACCCUGAUGCAGCGACGCCGCGUGGGUGAAGGAGCGUUUCGGCGCGUAAAGCCCUAUCGGCAGGGAAGAGGGAGGACGGUACCUGACUAAGAAGCCCCGGCUAACUACGUGCCAGCAGCCGCGGUAAUACGUAGGGGGCAAGCGUUAUCCGGAUUUACUGGGUGUAAAGGGGGCGCAGACGGCAGCGCAAGCCAGGAGUGAAAGCCCGGGGCCCAACCCCGGGACUGCUCUUGGAACUGCGCGGCUGGAGUGCAGGAGGGGCAGGCGGAAUUCCUGGUGUAGCGGUGAAAUGCGUAGAUAUCAGGAGGAACACCGGUGGCGAAGGCGGCCUGCUGGACUGCGACUGACGUUGAGGCCCGAAAGCGUGGGGAGCAAACAGGAUUAGAUACCCCGGUA